CCUACGGGGGGCAGCAGUGGGGAAUAUUGCACAAUGGGGGAAACCCUGAUGCAGCAACGCCGCGUGAAGGAAGACGGUUUUCGGAUUGUAAACUUCUGUUCUUAGUGAAGAAGAAUGACGGUAGCUAAGGAGCAAGCCACGGCUAACUACGUGCCAGCAGCCGCGGUAAUACGUAGGUGGCAAGCGUUGUCCGGAAUUACUGGGUGUAAAGGGAGCGCAGGCGGGAAGCCAAGUCAGCUGUGAAAACUACGGGCUUAACUUGUAGACUGCAGUUGAAACUGGUUUUCUUGAGUGAAGUAGAGGUU
rnacentral:rRNA from 1 species